rnacentral:lncRNA from 1 species
GAUGUUGUCCUUGUGAAGGUGGCACGCCAUACGAUGGUGGCCUGCCAUGUGAUUGUGCUGGAGUAGAACCCUGAUACGGAAUCUUGCCUGGUUGAGUGGCUCUAGGGGGGCCAUAAGACUGUGGAUGUUGUCCUUGUGAAGGUGGCAUGCCAUAGAAUGGUGGCCUGCAAUAUAUUUGUGCUGGAGUAGAACCAUGGUACGGAAUCUCGCCUGGUUGAGUGGCUCUUGGGGGGCCAUAAGACUCUGGAUGUUGUCCUUGUGAAGGUGGCAUGCCAAACAAUGGUGGCCUGCCAUAUGAUUGUGCUGGAGUAGAACCCUGAUACGGAAUCUCGCCUGGUUGAGUGGCUCUAGGGUGGACAUAAGCCUGUGGAUGCUGUCCUUGUGAAGGUGGCACGCCAUACAAUGGUG